rnacentral:rRNA from 1 species
AUACGGAGGAUGCGAGCGUUAUCCGGAUUUAUUGGGUUUAAAGGGAGCGUAGGUGGGAUAUUAAGUCAGCUGUGAAAGUUUGGGGCUCAACCUUAAAAUUGCAGUUGAUACUGGUUUCCUUGAGUACGGUACAGGUGGGCGGAAUUCGUGGUGCAGCGGUGAAAUGCUUAGAUAUCACGAAGAACUCCGAUCGCGAAGGCAGCUCACCGGGCCGGAACUGACACUGAUGCUCGAAAGUGCGGGUAUCAAACAGGAUUAGAUACCCUGGUAGUCCGCACAGUAAACGAUGAAUACUCGCUGUUUGCGAUACACUGUAAGCGGCCAAGCGAAAGCGUUAAGUAUUCCACCUGGGGAGUACGCCGGCAACGGUGAAACUCAAAGGAAUUGGCGGGG